AGCGAACGCUGGCGGCAGGCUUAACACAUGCAAGUCGAGCGGGCCCUUCGGGGUCAGCGGCGGACGGGUGAGUAACGCGUGGGAACGUGCCUUCUGGUCUGGAAUAACCCUGGGAAACUAGGGCUAAUACCGGAUACGCCCUUUUGGGGAAAGGUUUACUGCCGGAAGAUCGGCCCGCGUCUGAUUAGCUAGUUGGUGGGGUAACGGCCUACCAAGGCGACGAUCAGUAGCUGGUCUGAGAGGAUGAUCAGCCACACUGGGACUGAGACACGGCCCAGACUCCUCCGGGAGGCAGCAGUGGGGAAUAUUGGACAAUGGGCGCAAGCCUGAUCCAGCCAUGCCGCGUGAGUGAUGAAGGCCUUAGGGUUGUAAAGCUCUUUUAUCCGGGACGAUAAUGACGGUACCGGAGGAAUAAGCCCCGGCUAACUUCGU
rnacentral:rRNA from 1 species